rnacentral:tRNA from 1 species
GAUAUAAUGCUUUGACGCUUCUGAGGGCAUUUAUUGAUGUUAAGUGGUUAAAAUCA